rnacentral:rRNA from 1 species
AUGGCUAUAUUGCAUUCAGACCCCGUUCUUAGCUCAGGGCACAUGCAGCGAGUGGUUGGAUGGGACGAUGGCGACCAUGAAGCUCAGGCACAAGUUGCAGCAGUCACCUGUGUGGAUACUUCUCGACUUCAUCGUUCCAAUCCGAGGAGCCUCCCCCGUGGCGUUCUGGACAGACAAUUAUUUCUACUGACUUGCCUGCCGCAAUGGCAAACCUUCAUGAGCUUAGAGAACGACGAAGAUUUUAUGCUUGAUGUUAUUUACAGAAUGAGUUGUGCAAAUAUAUUGGUGCCCUGCAAGCAUGUAAAUUCCAAUUUAGCAUGA